CGGUAACAGCUCAAAUUUGAAAUCUGCCGCAAGGCCGAGUUGUAAUUUGUAGAAGAUGCUUUGGGUAUGGCCCCGGUCUAAGUUCGUUGGAACACGACGUCAUAGAGGGUGAGAAUCCCGUCCUUGACAUGGACUCCCAGUACUUUGUGUUGUGCUCUCAAC
rnacentral:rRNA from 1 species